rnacentral:rRNA from 1 species
GUAAUGUCUGGGAAACUGCCUGAUGGAGGGGGAUAACUACUGGAAACGGUAGCUAAUACCGCAUAACGUCUACGGACCAAAGUGGGGGACCUUCGGGCCUCACGCCAUCAGAUGUGCCCAGAUGGGAUUAGCUAGUAGGUGGGGUAAUGGCUCACCUAGGCGACGAUCCCUAGCUGGUCUGAGAGGAUGACCAGCCACACUGGAACUGAGACACGGUCCAGACUCCUACGGGAGGCAGCAGUGGGGAAUAUUGCACAAUGGGCGCAAGCCUGAUGCAGCCAUGCCGCGUGUGUGAAGAAGGCCUUAGGGUUGUAAAGCACUUUCAGCGAGGAGGAAGGGUUCAGUGUUAAUAGCACUGUGCAUUGACGUUACUCGCAGAAGAAGCACCGGCUAACUCCGUGCCAGCAGCCGCGGUAAUACGGAGGGUGCAAGCGUUAAUCGGAAUUACUGGGCGUAAAGCGCACGCAGGCGGUUUGUUAAGUCAGAUGUGAAAUCCCCGCGCUUAACGUGGGAACUGCAUUUGAAACUGGCAAGCUAGAGUCUUGUAGAGGGGGGUAGAAUUCCAGGUGUAGCGGUGAAAUGCGUAGAGAUCUGGAGGAAUACCGGUG